GAUUAAGUUAUUAAGGGCGCACGGUGGAUGCCUUGGCACUAGAAGCCGAUGAAGGACGUUACUAACGACGAUAUGCUUUGGGGAGCUGUAAGUAAGCUUUGAUCCAGAGAUUUCCGAAUGGGGAAACCCAGCAUGAGUUAUGUCAUGUUAUCGAUAUGUGAAUACAUAGCAUAUCAGAAGGCACACCCGGAGAACUGAAACAUCUUAGUACCCGGAGGAAGAAAAAGAAAAUUCGAUUCCCUUAGUAGCGGCGAGCGAAACGGGAAGAGCCCAAACCAACAAGCUUGCUUGUUGGGGUUGUAGGACACUCUAUACGGAGUUACAAAGGACGACAUUAGACGAAUCAUCUGGAAAGAUGAAUCAAAGAAGGUAAUAAUCCUGUAGUCGAAAAUGUUGUCUCUCUUGAGUGGAUCCUGAGUACGACGGAACACGUGAAAUUCCGUCGGAAUCUGGGAGGACCAUCUCCUAAGGCUAAAUACUCUCUAGUGACCGAUAGUGAACCAGUACCGUGAGGGAAAGGUGAAAAGCACCCCGGAAGGGGAGUGAAAUAGAACCUGAAACCGUGUGCUUACAAGUAGUCAGAGCCCGUUAAUGGGUGAUGGCGUGCCUUUUGUAGAAUGAACCGGCGAGUUACGAUUUGAUGCAAGGUUAAGCAGUAAAUGUGGAGCCGUAGCGAAAGCGAGUCUGAAUAGGGCGUUUAGUAUUUGGUCGUAGACCCGAAACCAGGUGAUCUACCCUUGGUCAGGUUGAAGUUCAGGUAACACUGAAUGGAGGACCGAACCGACUUACGUUGAAAAGUGAGCGGAUGAACUGAGGGUAGCGGAGAAAUUCCAAUCGAACCUGGAGAUAGCUGGUUCUCUCCGAAAUAGCUUUAGGGCUAGCCUCAAGUGAUGAUUAUUGGAGGUAGAGCACUGUUUGGACGAGGGGCCCCUCUCGGGUUACCGAAUUCAGACAAACUCCGAAUGCCAAUUAAUUUAACUUGGGAGUCAGAACAUGGGUGAUAAGGUCCGUGUUCGAAAGGGAAACAGCCCAGACCACCAGCUAAGGUCCCAAAAUAUAUGUUAAGUGGAAAAGGAUGUGGCGUUGCCCAGACAACUAGGAUGUUGGCUUAGAAGCAGCCAUCAUUUAAAGAGUGCGUAAUAGCUCACUAGUCGAGUGACACUGCGCCGAAAAUGUACCGGGGCUAAACAUAUUACCGAAGCUGUGGAUUGUCCUUUGGACAAUGGUAGGAGAGCGUUCUAAGGGCGUUGAAGCAUGAUCGUAAGGACAUGUGGAGCGCUUAGAAGUGAGAAUGCCGGUGUGAGUAGCGAAAGACGGGUGAGAAUCCCGUCCACCGAUUGACUAAGGUUUCCAGAGGAAGGCUCGUCCGCUCUGGGUUAGUCGGGUCCUAAGCUGAGGCCGACAGGCGUAGGCGAUGGAUAACAGGUUGAUAUUCCUGUACCACCUAUAAUCGUUUUA
rnacentral:rRNA from 1 species